AAUCUUUCAUUUUGCUGCGUCGAGAGGUAUUUACGAACGCGACCAAUAUUUCUGAUUGCUAGAGACGACGAUUUACAGAUGGAAUUUAUAUGCGAGCGUAAGUUCAUCACAGAAUCAAGCAUGACGCCUAGGUCUCGGACAGUAUUAGAUAAAUUAAUGAUAUCAUCUCCAAUAUUGAUAUUAAAGAAAGGAGGAUUUUUUGAGAAGCGUGAGAGGAAAUGAAUUAUUUCUGUUUUUGAAGGGUUGCACUGCAACCCUUCAACACAUGAUUUCAAUCUUUCCAUCCCCACCCGGUGUGGUAUGUUAAUCAUGGAGGCAAUCAUUGGGCCCUCUAAAGCCUGGUUAAUGUAUGGCGCUACUCUCUCUCUCGUAUCACUCCCUACACCCCUGGCUGAUGAAUCAUAGAAUUACGAUCAAACUUCAACUUACAGGUAAGUCUCGUUUAAUUUCCAAUUAUCAUGCCUAACAGAAAAGGAAAUGAAAGUCCCCAGAAAGAUAAUAAUUAUUCAACAAAAAGAUAUGUGGCUUUUAUUAAGCCAACAUGCUACUGAAUAAAGUGACCACAAUGAAUGUGGUCCUCAGGGUCGCAAAUAUAUCCUCAUGAUCUUAGGCCCCCCUUCUUGUCUUAGCGUUUGGAUGAGUGGACCCUUCACUUACUUCAUGACGUUAAAUCGCCUCUGUAUGAAGAAGCCACUAUACACGCGACAACUUAGGGAAUUUAAAAGAUAAAAUUAAUUUAUUGAUCUUUCAGCUGAGCUGAGACUAAAGAAAUUGUAGGAAAGAAGGCAAACUUGGCUUCGGAAAGGAAACUCUUGCCUCUUUCGACCUAGUUGGGCUCUACUACCAACUGAGAUACGAAGCCUCACUUUGAGGGAGGCGUCAGUCUUAAAUGGGAAAUAACUGUCUCCCUUCGUAUUAUUUUAGUUCCACUCACAUUGGGAGCCUAAUGCUUGACUGAUAAUGAACCACAGCUUGUGUGAAACGCAAUCAUCGCGGAUUUGUCGCAUAAGCAGCCCUAAUUAGAGUGAAAGUGUUUUUUUUUUCUCUCGUUCUCAGUCUCCCUGCUCAAGUGGGCCAUGUCAAAACAACGGAACUUAUGUACCACUUUACCAAAAAAUGGCUACAGGUGUCGUUGUACGAGAUCGUACAAAGGAAGCCAUUGUGAAAAAACAGUCGAUCACAACUGCAGUUGUUUAUUAGGACCACAGGGAAAACAAAUGUGCGACUUAGGUAAGUCAUAGGCCACUUUAGGUUCCAAGCCCUUGAUUUGGAGUGAGGUUGGAGGUGAUGGAUGACCUUGUUGUGAUAGAGACCUGUAUCUAGUCAGCAUGAUAAUAAAGUUAUUCACAUUUAAAAAGCAGCAAGGUUUGUAUCAUAAUAAGGUCACCCUUAGUGUAGCGGAUAGCACGCCUCAUCCUGGAUAUUGUACGUAGGCUUAUCUUGAUUCGUUCAUGUUAACCGCAAAUAUGAAGUUACAAUAGUUCAUUGGUCUCGGUUAAAAACGUGCUUUCAUAUAGCCCCGUCAAAACGCAGUUACUCAGUUGGUUUUCGGUUAGGCAAGUUACAAGUCAAGUUUUAGUAGCAUAAUUUGCCUCUAUUUUGGAUUUGUCUUCGGUCAAGUACUAACAAUCGGGACUGUUAUUUUACUUUAGCGAUCGAACCAAGACGGGGAUAUAUUUUACGGACAGAAACACUUGAAUCAAAUUAAUCUAUUCCACCGAAGAUUCGAGGUCACAUCUUAACCUGAAACAAAUACAAGCACAAAAACUAAGCUAAUCUUAUGCAUUCGAGACUGACAUAUAACAUUUCAAUCAUUCCAUUACGAUGAGAUUCUAAAUUUGGGUAAAACUAAACUUGAACAAACAAGGUAAAUAAAGGAUCCGAUUCUAACAUAGUACAGCAACAUAAGGGAAAUCUAAAGUGAAUAGGACGAGACAAUUUGUACAUUGUAAGCGUCCCGCUGCAUAAUAAGGCCUGAACUGGCGUAAAUCACAAGAUAGACAAUACUCUAAGUCGACCAUGAUUUCGGGGAGCAGAUAAAAAACGACAAAGUACACGCUUGCGAGAAACACUUCAAACCCGAGGAUAUUGAAAUAUGUUUCACUUCUUCAUCAGUUUGGUUACAAUAGUAACACUAUUAGAGAAUAGAGAGAUCCAUUUCAUGUCAGAGUGGCAAUACCAAAGGAAGGAAAGAUAGGAGGAAAUCUUGGGAACAGGUUGCCAAUGCCAAGUUGGCAUGCCAAAAAAAAGUCAAACUGUAAAAUUGCUGUGUACUAGCAUGACUGCCACAGAAUUUUUAAAUAUCCUGACAAAAGAAGAAGAAUUUUUUUCCCUUGAUCAUUAAUUUUCCUGACCUGUGUCUUGCUAGUCACUCGGCUGAAUAAAGCAAUUGUUAGAAAAAAUGUUCCCUCUAUUAACUCUGGUUUUCAACAGUUUGCUACGUCAAGGUUAGAGUUCUUUGACGAAAUUAGCUAAUCGUGAAAGACGCGCGCCACGCGUGAUUACGAAAAUGUCU